rnacentral:lncRNA from 1 species
AUUAAAAUUUUAGGCCAAAAUUAAUUAAAUCUUAAAUCCUAAACAAAUCCUAAUAAAAUUCUAAAUCCUAAAUCAAAUCCUAAAUCCUAAAUCAAAUCCUAAAAUCUAAUCAAAUCCUAAUCAAACCCUAAAUAAAUCCUAAACCAAAUCCUAAACCCUAAAUCAAACCUUAAAUCCUAAACCAAAUCCUAACCGAAUUCUAAAUAAAUUCUAAACCAAAUCCUAAAUAAAUCCUAAAUCAAAUCCUAAAUCAAAUCCUAAUUAAAUCCUAAAUCCUAAAUCAAACCUUAAAUAAAUCCUAAACCAAACUCCAACCAAAAUCUAAACCAAAGCCUAAAUCUUAAAUGAAAUCCUAACCAAAUUCUAAAUCCUAAACUAAACUCUAA